GGUCUGCGAACACGCUGCCUCAGCAAGGUGUGGCGGGCACACCUCCGCCUGCGUGCUUCGGCUCCUGUGCUUGCAUCCGGGAGCACCGAAGUCUGAGUCUGUGAUGAUGGUCUCCGCGGUUCCCUCUUGCAAGGCCUCAUAAAUCUCUGUUUCUGAUGACAUAAUCGGUUACUGAGGAAUGCGGUGGUACUGCCUGCCAGCUGAGUCACAGCUUCAUACAGCUGAACCACAAGGGGUUCAUUCAGAGAGACGCCCCUCUCCCCUUUCUUCUUUGACUACCAGAGUUGGAGUGUCCAAGCCUUUUCAUGAGCAAGGGUGACCACAGCAUGUCGUAUUAGGAGAACUUGAUGUGUACUUGAAGCCACAAACUUUCCAAACUUCAUGCGGAAAUGGAAGAUGAGCCAGACUCUUCAAAUUGAUUCUCCAUCUUCAAUGAACUGGCAACUGCUCAGUCAUGACAGCUAUUAAUAGACAUGUAAGUCGCCACCAUGGCUGAGGCUAAAGAACACAUGCUAAAUCUGACUCAGCAUAUAGCCAAUGGAUUGCUUCAAACUUGUAAAUCCACUGUGGAGCACAGACAGCUAAUGGCAAUGGAUAAGGCUCGCUUUGGGAAGGUACUUUCCCUGCCAGCACAACAAGGCUUGAGGUUUUCAGAAAGGAAACUGGGUCACAUUGUGGUUAAGAUGACGGACUUUAGAACCAGGAAAUGUUUUAAAAGAAGGAAGAAGACACAGAUAUAGAUUAGGAGAGCCUGCCUAAGGAUAAUACCAAAGUCAUUUAUCACACUGGAUCAAGACUGACAGAAUCUUUAGAAAAAAUUAUGGAGUGCUCUAUUCUAGUAAGAAGGCACUAAACUCUGGAAACAAAAUGAUCUCCAAAGAUGAAGACUACUGACAGAGAGCAUCCUACACGUGUCCUGGAUGUACUAAUAGUCCAAGGAUUUACCAGUGAGUUUUAUAGAUAUAUAUAAUAGAUAUAUAUGAUAAAAUGUAAGCAACAUAUAUAUCUAAAAAUUCUGCUAGGCAGCAUGGAAACCAACGUGAAUCAUGAGCACCGUAUCUUCCCUAUGUGGCUUUCCCCAAAUUUCUGAAUGAAUACAUUUAGGAUAUAAUUCAGUGUUUCUAAUUUCCACAGAAUGAGACUUUUAAAUCUUCCUUUAAUAAUCUUUCUAAAGAUUUAAAUGACUGGAAUAUUAGACCAGACCAGGGGGUUUUCCAAGACAAUUUCUAAAUUAGCGUAAAAUUAUAAGACAUAUUAAAAAGCACUGCAGGCUGAACUGACAUACUGGGAAAAAUUAGUACAUCAUCCGCCCAACACAUGUGCAUCAACUAUAAUGUACAGUUUACUGGGAAUUUUAGUUAAGAAUGUUUUCAUGUAUUUCCAUAACAAUGUCAGUAUUUCUAGAGAUAAACUUUAGAUAAUGCGAGCUUUGCCAGAGAGGGCAAGUGAAUGUUAUUAAACAUGGAAAGAUGGUGACUCGAUGUUGGUGGGGUUGUGUUUGCAUGUGAGUGUGAGAACGACAGCCAGCAGAUGUGCAAAGAAGUGAAGGGCAGUGGGACAGGAGCAUGUUUUGUAGCAUGUACUUAAGUUUUCACUCUGUUUUCUGCCUUGACCUUCACUAUCCAAGAGGAUAUCAAGGUCUGCCCUGCUGGGGAUUUGUGGCAGGGUUGUUCCCUGCAAAAAUUGUCCAAUGUUGAGAAGAGAAGCGGCUCAGAAGAAUUCAGAGUGCACAUC